rnacentral:lncRNA from 1 species
AAGGUAACUAAUGCAAGUUAGUUCACAUUUUAAGUAAUUCAACUUUAGUAACGAAAGUUGAAAAAAUGACAAAAAUAGUUUGUUAUGUCUCGAGUUAGUCUAAAAUAGUCCUUCAAGUAUAUUUAUCUGAGCAAUUUUAUUUUUCGAACUUCACAAGUGAGAUAGAGUUUUUUUUUUUUUUUGGAUAUGUAUAUGUAUAUUUUUCAAAUUUCUGAAUUAUUUUAAAUAAAAUUUCUGACUUCGCUGCUGAAUUGACAAAAAGUGAAAUUAAGGAGUGAGUAGUACAUACUUGUUACCCAGAAGGCUAUGGAGUUUGAUAAUGAGUUCAUCUUCUUCUUCAGUAAAAUUACCGCGUUUAAGGUCAGGUCUCAAGUAAUUAAUCCAGCGGAGACGGCAACUUUUACCGCAGCGGAGAAGUCCGGCAGCUUUGGGAAGGGAUCUCCAGCAACCUUCGCCGUGAGUUCUAAUAUAUGAAAUAAGUCGUUCAUCUUCUUCUUUAGUCCAAGCUCCUUUAUUUGUAUGUGCUUUUUCACAACACGGUGAUCUUCCCAUUGAACACUAAUAAUCUCAAACUACUUCUUCUGUGUAGUAUUUAGCUAUGGAGAAUUAAUUAAAGCCGGCUUUUUUCAGGACUUGAGGUGGGAUUUUAUAAGCUUUUGACUCCAUGAAGAAGAUGGACCCCACUGACGUAGGGAGGUGGUGGUGGGGUAGGAGUAGGAGAAAGGGAG